rnacentral:rRNA from 1 species
AUCCCAGUUCGGAUUGCAGGCUGCAACCCGCCUGUAUGAAGUUGGAAUCGCUAGUAAUCGCGGAUCAGCAUGCCGCGGUGAAUACGUUCCCGGGCCUUGUACACACCGCCCGUCACACCAUGAGAGUCGGGAACACCCGAAGUCCGUAGCCUAACCGCAAGGGGGCGCGGCCGAAGGUGGGUUCGAUAAUUGGGGUGAAGUCGUAACAAGGUACC